UACAGAGGGUGCAAACGUUGCUCGGAAUUAUUGGGCGUAAAGCGCGUGUAGGCGGUCUAUUAGGCCGACUGUGAAAUCCCAUGGCUCAACCAUGGAAGGGCGGUCGGAACCGGUAGACUAGAGUUCUGACGAGGGUGGCGGAAUUCCCAGUGUAGAGGUGAAAUUCGUAGAUAUUGGGAGGAACACCGGUGGCGAAGGCGGCUCACUGGCCCGUUUCUGACGCUGCAGCGCGAAAGCGUGGGGAUCAAACAGG
rnacentral:rRNA from 1 species